UACGAAGGGGGCUAGCGUUGUUCGGAAUUACUGGGCGUAAAGCGCGCGCAGGCGGUCUUCCAAGUCAGUGGUGAAAGCCCGGAGCUCAACUCCGGAACUGCCAUUGAAACUGUUGGACUUGAGUACGAGAGAGGUGAGUGGAAUUCCCAGUGUAGAGGUGAAAUUCGUAGAUAUUGGGAAGAACACCAGUGGCGAAGGCGGCUCACUGGUCCGGUACUGACGCUGAGGUGCGAAAGCGUGGGGAGCAAACAGG
rnacentral:rRNA from 1 species